ACGGAGGGUGCAAGCGUUAUCCGGAUUCACUGGGUUUAAAGGGUGCGUAGGUGGGUUGGUAAGUCAGUGGUGAAAUCUCCGAGCUUAACUUGGAAACUGCCAUUGAUACUAUCAGUCUUGAAUACCGUGGAGGUUAGCGGAAUAUGUCAUGUAGCGGUGAAAUGCUUAGAUAUGACAUAGAACACCAAUUGCGAAGGCAGCUGGCUACACGAAUAUUGACACUGAGGCACGAAAGCGUGGGGAUCAAACAGGA
rnacentral:rRNA from 1 species